rnacentral:lncRNA from 1 species
GCAGGGCCUCUGCGACCAGGGAGCGGCGGGCAAGGGGCUGAGGGGAGGGGGACCUGGUGCCAGCCGUUUAAAAGUGCCCCUGUGGCAGUGAAGGGUGCCAGAGGCCCGGUCAAGUUAGUUGAGAAGAAGUGACACCCCCAACCAUUCCCCAAAUGGUCUGGCCCCCGUAUCCCGGCUGCAAGGAGCCAUAUCUGGACCAGACCCCCAGAGAGGUAAGAACCGCGGCAGAUGUGGGGUCUGCCCAUGGCGGGGCCUCUGCGGCAUCCUCCCCAGGCGAACGCUGCAUCCAGGGGUCUGGUCCUUGCUCUCUUGCUAACCUGCUCUAACUUCUGCCUCUCCGGGCCUCAGCUUCCCCAUCUGUACAGUGGCUGGGCUGGAGCAUCUCUAAGCACCCACCCUGCUUUGACCAGAUGUGGUCCUGUUGGCUUCCAGGCCUCCUUGUGGCUGCAGUUAAGUGGGGGAGGCGGGGAGGAGUGGACAGUGUUAACAUCAUGCCGGCCCGACCUUCACUGCUGAUCCGGAGUCUGGGCCCGUCUCCCUGGCUUCUCUGCAGACAGUGCUCCUUCUUGCUCUAUGAGGUUUGAUUUCACAGUUACAAGAGCCUGGGGCUGCUGGCGAGGAAAACUGUUUUCAAAUAAUGGUUUCAAGAAGCAAAGCUAGAGGAGAAGCGAUGUCAGCUCGGGCUCCGGCAGAAAGGCAGAGGGGCAGGAAGGCCAGGACAAGGCAGUGGAAGGGCAGGCUUGCUGGGGGAUGGGGUCGCCGGCCCUGCCUCUCACUGUUCUGGCCCUUCAGCGUUGGGGGGGCACCCUAGCCUCUCUGGGCCGCAAUUUCCCAUCUGUACCAUGAGGCAAUUGGACAACACGGUCUCCAUGCAGGAUGUGGCUUCUGAGCCUAAAGGGCAGCCAGUGUCGGGAAGUUUCCCCAGGAGUCCCUGAGCUGAGUCCGCCCUUUGACCACGGGCUUAGAGUCCAAGCAGAUGCCCAAGGCCCAUGGGAGCUUUUAGAGGUUGAUCCUCAAGUGAUGGAAAGAAACCAAAGGGUCUCUGACACAGGCUUGGCCGGGGGGAGGACCAGCCCACAGCCCUGAGGCCUCAGGAUGGACCUGGCCCCAAUGCAGCCCCUGGUGGGGAAGGGGUUCAUCUCUGGAUCAGGAGGUGUAGGACCUCUGAGAGGCAUGGGGACAGAAAACACAGCAGAGGAUUUCAGGGGGGGUGAAGUGGUGGGGCCAGAGGACGCAGAGGAAGGCAGGAGACUUGCGAUGGGCAGUGUGGAAGGCAGGGCUGUGUAGAGGCAGAGGACUGGGACCAGCUGGAAGGAACACAGGCAACAUGGACCUUCUGAGCAUGCUCUGAAUGCACCCGGCCCAGAAUGGACACAGUCCUCCAGCGUCACACUGCCUAGCCCCCUCACCUCCCUACUUCUGGUCACACAAGACCCAAGGCCAUAAUGGUCCUAAAGGAGACUCUGGAAUCCAACUGCCUGGGUCCAAUUCUGGCUUGUUUACUCAGCAGACACAUGACUCUGGGCAAGUCGCUUGCCAUCUCUGAGCCUCAGCUUCCUCUUCUAUAAAAUGGGUAUGGUCUUGGUUCUGACAUCACUUUGUUGUCAUGAGGAGUGAGGGACACAUGCACAGAAGAGCAAGAUAAAAGGGGCUGGUGUUACUUUACAGUUAGACUCUCCUCCUGUGGGGCAAAAUGAGCUUAGCUCUGUUUAGAGAGAAGCGGGAAGGAAACCCGGCCAGGGAGCACCUGGAGAUGCUGAAAAGAGAACGGGGUCUGGAAAGAGGCAGGAGGGAUGAGUUUAGAGGUCGGAGGUUAAGGGGCACAAAAGAGGGGUCAACUUGAGAUGCCUAAAGGGCUAAGUGAGGUCUCCUUUCCUGCAUUCAUAGGGCACUGUGUGGGCAAUGUGCCCCAGAGUGUGGUGUCUGAACCACUGCACCCUCAUCCAGCGACAUCUCCUGUCAGGGAAUCCUGGGUGGGGCCCAGGAAUCUGCAUUACCAGCUCCCAGGGAGUUCCCACCCACACAGAGUUUUGAGAAUGCUGUGCUGUCAAGCAGUCUGGGACCCUCACAAACACAGCUGAGGCAACUGAAUUCACAAAAAGAGAACACCGCUCUAGGUCACACAGCUGAUGGCAGAGCUGUGACAGAAUCAGCCCCUCAGCCCAGCCCGAGGCUCCAUAAGGUGGAUAGGAGAAUUAUAUUUCGAUUAUCGUGGUCCAGGCACUACCUAAGGCCUUUACACGAAUUCAUUCAUUUACUCCUCACAACGAUGAUGUGAGGUGGAUGCAACGAUUAUCCCCAUUGUACAGGUGAGGAAACUGAGACACUGAGAGGUUAAGUAGCUUGCUAAGGUCACUGUAUGUGUGCUGGCUGCCCCACCUGCUCUCUCCCCAGGAGUCUCCCACCUCCUGCCCUCCCCUCGGCCACCCCACCAUGGAAUGGAGACCUUCCAAUGUACCUCAAGAAUAUGCAUGGUGGAUUUCCCUGGGAGCCAGGUCCUGGGUUGAGUCUGUUGCGUUAUCAUUUAAUCCUCCUGGGAUUACCGUAAGGCAGGAACUAGCAUCAUUCCAUCAUCACCAUUUAUAGGGUGGAAAACCACUGGAGCUUCCCCAAAGUCACACAGCUAGAAAGUGGCAGAGGGGACUUGAACCCAGUCUGCAACUCCCAAACGCAUGAUCGUAUCCUGCCCACAACGGCACCUCCGAGAGGAGUGACAAAGAAUCCCACUUCACAGAGGAGAUCAGGGCUAAGAGGGCGGCCAAGCCAGAGCUCAAACCCAAGUCUUCUUGGCAGUGGUCCAAGGCCACCGCUCCCCUUUAGCCUCACCGCUACCCAAGGUUGGAAAGGAGUUUGCUAGCCACUGGUCCCCAGGAGCCACACUGCAGCUCCUUGAGCAGAGUAGACAUUUUCCCAGCCUGGCCAGUUCUGGGGAAGAGCUGACACUCACAUAGCCCUGAGGAAUAGAAAGUUCCAGGCCCACGGCCACCUUCACCUGAUUCCCCGUGUGAGUCUUGAGGAGUCGAGGAGUCGCAGGAGAUGGCCUCUGAGGUCCUCGCCUCUGGGCUAUGGGCCCCGCCUCAACUGCAACUUCCCGGCUAAACACUGCCCGGGCUUCAGGGCCAUGGGGUCAUGUAAAGAACCGUGAUAAGGGUUUUUUCCUAUUCUUGUUAUAACCGUUUUUGUCCACAUCUCCUGGUGCACAUGAGCUAGAGUUUCUCCCGGGUUUAUACCACAAGAAGGAUUGCUGAGUUCUGGGGUGCAUGCCUGGCAACUUUACAGGAGAGCACCUGAUUAUUUUCCAAAGUGAUUGAGCCAAGUUACAUUCCCACCAGCAGUGUAUGAGCAGCGCCCCCUGAGACACUUGACAUUAUCAGAUUUCUUGAAGUACAUGUGUUACGCUCUCUAUUUUGUAUCUAUCAAAUUUGUAUAAUAAAGAAUGUAAGGAAGAAACAAAAAUGCAGCUAUGCUCCUGUGCACACGGGUAUCUAGAAAUGUGCCCGACAGGCACCAAGUUGCAGAGGACCCUGAAGGCCCUGGGGUGGGAGUGGGCACUGCCCACGUGGCCCUCCCCCAGCCCAGCAGGAUGCAGUGGCCACGGUCCAAUCAGAGGUCGCCUGUGGGGUGAUCUGCAGGAAUCUGGGGGAAAGAGCCCACAGUGGCUGCCUCCUAACGGCCUGUCUAGACAGGCCCCACGGGGCUUCACCACAGGUUGCGAGAGCCCAGAGGCCGCCCCCUCCCCUCUUGCAAAAGAGGCUUGUUGACGGCAAUGCUUCACACCAGAAACCUUUUCUCCAAUUCAAAGCAUGCCUUAAUGCACAGCACGGACCACCCACUCUCAUGGCCCGUGGACGCCAACUCCUGCAGGCCCCUUUUUGUUUUCAUGAGGAAAUGGAGGCUGACUCUGGAGCCAGGGGGCUCUCAGAUGUGGGGUAAAUCCCUGUGCUCAGGUGAUGAGGGGACCAGGCAGGGGUCUGAGUGCUGCUAGAGAGGGGCUAAGGUGCAGUAGGCUGGCGGUCAAAGGUGCCAGAUGGGAGGGCGAGGAGGGGGAGGCAAGAAGAAAAAAAAAGGUGCCAGACAGGAGUCAGGCUGCCUGGGUUUGAAUCCCAGCUCUCCCUCGUAGCAACUGUGUGACCUCGGGCAUGAUAAUCCCUGUAGUGGUUAAGUUGACACAUUCCGCUUCGGCAGCCUGGGGUUCAUCGGUUUGGAUCCCAGGUGCGGACAUACACACUCCUCUUCAAGCCAUGCUGUGGUGGUGUCCCACAUACAAAACAGAGGACGAUUGGCAUGGAUCUUAGCUCAGGGACAAUCUUCCCGAAGCAAAAAAGAAAAUAAUACCUCCUCAUGAGGUUAUUGAGUUGUCUGGAUUAAAUGAGUUAAAAUUCAUGAAGCCCUCAGAACAGUGACUGGCACAUAGUAAGUACUCAAUAAAAAGUAACUGUUGAGAUGUAGUUACUAAAGGCAGCUUCUUCAGAGGGAAGGAGGUGCCGUACUGGGCUCCAACUGUUCUUUAUCCAUCUAGGGAGAUAAGCUGCCCUUGUUCCUUCAAUAAUAACAAUUGCCACAUAUCAAGUCUUCCCAAGUGCCAGUCCUUCCCCCAGCAAUCUCUGAAGUACCAUUAUCCUUCUGGGAACCCAGAGGCUCAGAGAAGUUUAGUCAUUUGCCUAAUGUCACACAGCUUCUAAAUGGCCAAGGUAGGGCUCAAACCCAGGUCUGGCUGACUCCAGAACCCAUGUGCUGACACUCCAGCACCACCCCAGUAAGUUUGUGAGCAAGAGCUAGUUCUGGUUCUGCUCUGCCUAAUAGGACCAAUUCUUGGCAUUUGGGGAGAAGACCAUUUGAAGCCAGAUGCCUCCUUUUAGAUCUUCUAGAUUAGGCCUUGUUAUGGUAAGGGGAUAAACAGAGCCCCCACCCCACCCUCACAUGUGCUCAGGGGCAAAAACGCAGACCCUGGUGAAACAAUGCUUCUCCCAAUGAGCCCCCGGAGUGUGGGCAGAGUGCCCUUGGGGUCCUCCUCAGUCCUGGGCCGCCUCUUGCGGGGCACAAUCCAUCGGAAAUUUGAGGAAGGGGCAGUCGGCUAGGCCAAGGCUGGAGGAAGCAGCCUCACUCUGGCUCCUGCUUAAGAGCCCAUACCAGCCACAAGCCUACGUCCCCUUCUCAGAGACCCUCCUCUGAGCCAAGCCAAGUUCCGAGGGAGACGGAAAAACCCCAAACUGGAAAACACGCUGGACCCUGAAGGUUAACAGGGACACUGCUCAGCUGCCACUAGCUUCCACCCCACACCCAUCUCCUCUUCCUUAAGAUGGGGUGAAGUGUACAGAGCAAGCUCCCUCCUCGGGAUGGCAUCCAUAGUGGCUGUGACACCACCCCUGGCUGGGCUGCCCAGCUCAGAGGCCACUGGUCAGUGUGCCCAGAGCCUGCCAGGCCUCAAGCACGUGACCCAACAACCCUAUUGAGCCCGAGGGCCUCUGCUGAGAUAAGCUGAACAAGACAGGGAGAAAGGGAAAGAACCAGGCGGAGACUCUGGCCCUGGCCCUGCAGCCAGCACACCUGGGUAAGUUCCUCCGUCCCUCUGGGACCUUCAGGCUGUGAUGUCCCAUGGUUUGGGAUGGAAGAGCGUCAGCUCAGUUUAUCCCACGUAUGGCAGGGAGGCCCAGACUCGCAGGGAGGGAAAACCUGGCGUCGGGUGGUCAGAGUGGCAGGGGGCACGGUGUGGACAGACAGAGAAGAAGAAGGCAGUCCAGGUGGAGAGCUCUCGGUACAAAGACGUGGAGGCGGGACUGGACAGACGUUUUCAGGAGAGCAGCAAACAAGCCCGUUUGGCUGGAACCGAGGGUAGGUCUCGGAGCUCGGUGAGGUCUGAGGCUGGCAAAGUGGGGAAGGCCUGGUCGUGGAGCAGCUUUGCCAGCCAGAAACCAAACCCCAGAAGGGGGGAGAAGUCCCCCUUGGGAUCUGUCUCUGGGAGGGGGUCCCUGUCUUUAGCCUGUUUGUCUGCUUCCCCAAAACACCGUCAGGCUGGGAGCCCAAGUGCAGGGGAGAGAGCCGGGAAUCUGGGCAUUGGCAGCUCUGAGAUGUCAAGCAAUGGGACAGGAGACCUCGGGUGGGAUUAAGAGGGGUAAGAAGCCUGAAGGCUAUAGUCACCAUCUUCACACCUCUGAAGAGCUUCCUGAGGAAAAGGAACUUGUUCUUUGCGGCCCCGAAGGAUAGGGAGUGCAGCCCCAGAGAGGCAGAUGUCAGCAGGAUAUUAGGAAGGAGUCUCUAACAGUCUGUCCGAAGAGAAAUUAGGUGAUUGAGAAGCAGUGAGCUCCCCAUCACCAAAGGUAUGCAAGCUCGGCAGGGACACUGUAGUGAGAAGUCAAACAUUAGAGGACUCUGGGCCUUGUGGCCUUUCCCACCACCAGCCUGGGACUUCACUUCACAGCCCUAGCUGCCUUGGGACAAUCUCGUGGGGCUGAGUCCUCCCGCUGCCUGGAUGUCAGAUUCCCAGCUAGGCAUGACAUCAGUCCUACCCUGACUUCACACAGGGGCCUCUGGGGACCCCCCGCCCCACUUCCUUUCACCCACUGAUGCCUUCCCUUCCCAGGGAGCACCAGGCCUGAGCAGAGAGACCUGGAGUCUGGUUAUGAGACUGGGUCCCUGUGGGAAUAUUCAGCUGAUGGCCUUCCACCCAGCAGGAAUGAAGCAGAGGGGCCAGCGUCCCUGGGAGCCCUGUUCACACGCCCCAGAGUCUACAUGGAAAUUCCAGGAGGGUCACAGGGAUGCUUCCAAUUUAGACCAAGACUCUUUAUUUUUGUCCCCCUUUCUUUCCAGUCCCUCCUUUCCCCCAGCAGUGGCAGGGGUGUCACAGGAGGCUGGAAGAGGAAGGCUAGUCUCCUCCUCGGGCUGAGUCACAGAGAGACCGAGUCGGGAGAGAUGGGGGUGUGGGGCAGACAGGGAGAGGAACCAGAGAGGGCCUGGGGAGGUGGACAGCGUGUGGGAGAGGGUGGAGGAAAGGGCAAAGUCAAGAGGACAGCCAGGCCUGGGCAGGGUCCUGGACGGCGGGCGUGAACAUCGCCCAGGGCAACAGGCAUUCCUGGACGCUCAAGAUCAGAGCCACCUGAGCUCUGGGGUCAAAGAGUCAGGCUGGGGUCGGAGAGUCAGCCCAGAUUCUCAGAACACACAGAGGGUCUCGGGGCUGGGGCUUCCAGGAUCCCUGGGCACUGGGUCCCCCUCACACUGACUGUAAAGCUACAGCAUUUUACUAGAUCCAUCUCCUUCACCCUUGUGAUCCUGGUAGAUGCUUAGUAAACAUUCCUGGUGUUGAAUCCUAAUCUCAGAGCAUCAUAGUCCUGUUAGAGCUAAAAGGGAGCUUCAAGAGCAUCAAGCAAGAUGCAGAACCCAAGGUCAAGAACAGGGAGAGACUUGCCCAAGAUCACAAGGCCAGAGUGGCCACCCAGCCCUGUGCGUCCUUCUUUGCCUCUUCCCUGCCUUCUAGCCAAAGAGGGAGACUACAGUAUAGUCCUCACAGCCAAGGGUGGGGAGAGAGGAGAGGCAGGUGCCUUGCCAGGACAUAACUGUCUCCAAGAGGUAGUCAGAAGAUAACGGCCUAUCUUGAAUUCUGGUUGCUCUGCCCAGGAAGGCCCUUUUUUCGGCCAGAGAUGGUCCCCAAAGCUGUUGGCUGCUACAGAUGGGAGGCCUCCUGCAGAGGGCUGGGAGGGGAGGCCCUGGUUCUAUUCCUGGCUCUGCCCCCACUUGCCACAUGACCUUGAGCAUGACCUUGAUCGUAAGGUCCUCUCUGGAUUCAGUGUGUCCAGUGAGGGGCUGGACCCAACUAGCUUGGACAGUUGGAGAUUCCAUCCAUGAUCUGCCUCAGUCUCCUGUGGGGCCUUCUCUCUCUGUCUUGGUCCAUCUUAGCUUUUGCCUCAGCACAGGAGGAAGGCCAGGCAUAGGAAGCAAAUAGCAGUCUGCAGAUUCCCCUCUGCCUGGAAGCAGCAUCCUUGAUGCCCAAGCUUUGCUUUCCAGCCUUGGAAUUCCCAGAGACGCAAAAAGCUGGGAAGGCCCUUAAGAUCACCCCUGUGAGGGAAUCUGAGAUGAGAGAGAUUCGGCAGAUUGCUCACAGUCACCCAGCAAAUAAUGUGCAAACUAGGAGUGGGCCUUGUGUCUCCUGGUGCCCAGCCCAGUGCUCUCUGCCCUGACCACAGUGGCUUCCAGAAUAAUGGGCAUGUAACCGUGCUCAUGUAGACCUGGACACCGAUCAACCUUGACACCUCAAACUCCCACACAGGGAGCCUACAAUCUCUCCCCUUCUCUGAGACUCAGUUUCUUCUUCCAUAAAACAGAGAGAUGGAGUGGACCAGAUGUCUCUAGAAGCCCUUCCACCAGGACCCCAGGGCUUUCCAGUAUGGCCACUUCAGCCCUUUCUUCACAGACCAUGGGGCUACUCAGGCCAGGAAAUCCCACCAAGUCACAACCCCCACUCAGCCCUGUGCCCCCCAGACCCCAGGGCUGAGCUUCCUCCAGAACUGCAGGCUCCAGCCCAGCUCCCCCUCUGAGGAUCUGGAUUUUUCUUACCAUAAAAGGGCAAGCGUGCCUCUCUCGGUCCCUGCUGCCAGCCCCGCUGGGGGAAAGGCUGAGCUAUUUUUGGAAAACUCAAGGGUUUGCUCCUGAAGUCAAGAUGGAGCUUGUCUGAGCCUACACUCGCGAGCCCCCUCCCCACCUCCCUCGCCCACCUGAUUUCUCUUCCUCACUCUACCCAUCUCUUCCUUCCCUCUCUGUGCCUGUCUCUGUCCUGCUGUCACUCACGCCCUCAAUCUCUCUGCCCUUGUCUCUCCCUCCCCUCUUCUCUCUCUUCCUUCCCCCUCACCUCUCUGCCUUCUCCCCAGAUCUUCUCAUAGCCAGGUCCCCUCCCCCACUUCCCUCCCUCAGAGCUUGUUUUUGGUGGUUGGAGAAAGUAACACAUCCUCACCCCCACUCCCUUCUUAAACACUAUUUACAACAUAAAUUCCAAACAUCCGCCAUCUGGUUCUAGGAAGGGCCAAAAGAUAUUUAGAAAAGGAAGUCAUGAUUAUUCCAUCUUCAAAGCCAAAGGAACUCAAAGGCCCUCCUCUCUCCUGCCUUCCUCCCAGGGCCCCUCUGUUAAGAUCUGACCGAUUAGGAUCCCUCACAGAGAAGAGGUCAGUCCCAGCUGGGCCUCUGAAUGACUGCAUCACUGGGAGCUCGUUGCUUCUCCUCUUUGUGUCUCAGUUUCCUCAUCUGAACAAUGGGCACGGGAUUGGGGUGCCUCCAGCAUUAACGCUCUGAGACUUCAAGUCCUGCUGCAGAAAAUCCACCUGGUCCGGUUCCCCGGGACCUGCUUGGGGCUGAGCAGGAGGGGUAGGAUGGGGACAAAGGGCAUGAGAAGCAGCUGGGAGAGCUCUCACCCCCACCCUCGAUGUCCCAUCUCUCCCUCUCCAUGAAGAUGAACACAGACCAUUCACUUCCUUCACACUGACACACACCAGCGGGAUGGGGUCGAACCAUCCCCCCUUAUCUGACCCUGGGAGGACUCCGGACACCAUGGAGUCCAGUCCUCUCCCCACCACAUCAUGAUGAGGCUCAGAGAGGGGAAUGCACUUGUCUGCAAUCACACAGCAUGUCUACAGGAGACCUAGUUCCUAACUUGCUGCUCUUCCCAUCCAGCACAUUCCAGAAGAAACCAACACUUGUAUUACCCUGAAAACAUCAUUCAGUCCCAGCAAAAUGGGACCCUGGAGGUCCUAGUCCUUUGCAAAGUGAACAGGACAGAAGGGAGAACUAAUUCCCUUAUCAUGGUGUUUCUUUAAACAAAUAGACAGCAUGCAAGGGAGAAAUCCUGUGGGAAAGCGGCGAAACAACCACCCAAUUGAGAAGUCCCCUUGCUUCUGGAGACGUGCGGCCCUGGCCAGGGCCUACGUAAGCUCCACUUAGACUGCAAAGUCCUUCUCUGUUCACAGCCCCCUUUCCAUACAAACGAACACAUGCCUGACAAAACACCGUGAGACACUGACUCAGGUUGUCGCUCUGAGAAAAUAGUGCCGUGAAUAGUCUGGUCUCCUGGGCAGGCAUGAAAAUGCGUGUUGGGCUGCCUGGAGCCAGUCUCGAUCCUGACAUUUACUAGCUGUGUGACCUUGGGGGAGGGCUGUCGCCGCUGGGAGCCUCAGUUUCCUCAUCUGUCAAAUGGGGAAAGAAUGGUACCUAAGUCAUAAGCCAUGGUGAGGAUCAGAUGAGAAAAAAAUAAAGCACUUAGCAAGCAUGGAGCACAUCGAAAGCCCCCGAAGCUGGUCCCUACCCCCCACCCUCCCAGAGCUGGAGCUGCUCAAGGCAGAGCUUGGGAUUUGGACCAGGCAGGUCUGCGCCCCGUUUCGUUCCCUCCCUUCCCUUCCCCCUUGUCACUCUGUUUCAGCCUCACACUGCAUUCCCAAGGCUUGCUCAAAAGUCCCCGGCAGCAACCUUCCCUGGGGAGGAAGUGGGGAGCGUGUGAGGCUGGUGAACUCAGCUGGGGUGUCAGGGGGGUGGAGGGCGUUCUGGGAACAGAGGCCCAGUGAAGCUGCGCAAUAGGGGGGACGUGGAAAGGGGCCCCACACAGUGGCUCACACCCCAGCUCCCACAUCUUCUUGGGAUCCCCUCUGGACCUUUGCCCUCAUCCUUUCUGCUUCUUCUCCUCCCCUGCCUGGGCCUCGCUGGGCACCCAGGCCCGUGCUCAUAAUGGAAAUUGCAGCCAUUUAUUGUGGGCUUGUUAAAGUGACAGCAACUGUGCUUGCCCUUGACAUCUGCAUCAUUUGACCUUCACAAACAAGCCUGUGAGGUUGGAAGCCAAGGUUCCAAGAGGUGAAGCCACCAGCUCUAGAUGACAUAGGUAGAAAGUGCUAGGGGCGAGAUUCGAAUGCAGGUGGCCUGGUUGCAAGCCCUGUGUCUUCUCUAUUCUUUCCAAACACGUGGUGGAAACUCUAGGGCCCUGGAGCCCAAGGAGAGCACAGGCUGUGGUACAUGCAAAAGCGUGAGGAAGCCAAGGAGGGGGCUAUGGGCAAAGAAGCCCUUCCAGAAAGAACCAGGUGUGGGUGUGGGAUCGUGUGCUUGCCUGGAGCCCCCGUCUCAGCCUUCUCCCACCGUGGUGCCAUCUGGCUCACACAUGUGGCCCAUUCCCUGCCCCUCACGUUUCUGGGAAAUGAGAAAGGCCAGGACAGAGCACAGAUGCUUUUGCAAUGACUGUGACGAUAUGAGUUUUGUUUUGUGGUCAUCCAGUGGCCCGCUGCCCCAGCUCGGGAGACAGCUGGACUGAGUGUAUGCCCCGGGGUCGUUCCACUCAGAGCCCCUUGGAACCUCAGUAAGCGGGGAAGUUAUUCCUACCUCUGGCGGUGGUCGCUAGGGCACUGGCUGGUGGGAGCCACCCCUACAUCUCUGACAUUGGUGGAGCCAGGACCCCAGAGAGGUGCCUCCUGAGGACCAGAGGGCAGGCAGCAGGGGCCCUGGAAACAGAACGCCUCCCCGAGCUUCUCGACAGAAGACAGAGGUUCCCCCACUCAGUGACAUUUCCUGAAGACAGUGGGGAGCAGGGAGGGGAAAUCGGCCCGUCCUCCGGGAGCCACCCCCAGACAGCCAACAACCAGGGCGGACCCAGCCAUGAGCCCACAGAGCGCCGGCGCCCUGUCCCCCGGCCCGAGGUGCAGUGCUGCAUCUCUGGUCAGUUGGGAGUCUGAGAUGAAGCACUGUAGCUCAGGAAGGGAGAAGUUGUUCUGCGGCCAUCAGCCUGGAAGCGGUGAGUGGUGGUGGCGCUUGGGGGCGCCAGGCAGGACGGGAGCAUUUCCAGUCUCCACACUGUCAGCUGUUCCUGCAGAGGAAGUUUCUGGACUCAGGUCCCACCUGUGUCCCUAUGCGCUCUGUGAUUCGGGGCGAGCAUUGACUCUUCUGUGUACCCUAGUUUUGUCCAUCUGUGGAAUGAAGUGUUGGACCCUCCAGUGGGGGCCCUCACCCAGCACCCUGCCUCUGCUUUCUCUUUCUGAGCCCUUGGUGGCCCCUGCUAAUCAGAGAAGGCGUCCAUUCUGGAAAUGUUCAGAUGCGGCUUCAGAAUCCUUCUCAACACAAAGUCCUGGGUAGCGACUCUUAAUGAUUCAGAGCUGAAACCCAUUCAUCAUUUGUGGAUUGGACAAUUUCUAAAAACCCUUUCAUCCCUAAAGACAAAGCUCUGGGCUCUUCAUGUUUUGAGCUCUUACCUUUGGCUCCCGGCCCUUGCCUGACCCAGUCCAGGCCUCACCAAUGUCUGACCUCUCUUGGAGGCGCCAGACAAGCAGGGACCAGCAGAGGAGAAUAGCUGGGCUAAGCACAACUUUAUUUAACCUCCCAACAAGCUUGGGAGGUGAGCAAUGUUAUUGACCCAUUUUACAGAUGAGAAGACUGAGGUUCGGUUAAGCAACUCACCCAAGGUCACUCGUGAGUUGUGCUGAGUCGGGGUUGUAGCCUAAUCUCUCGGCCGUCAAAUUCGUGUUCUCACCCACUGCACGUGACUGUGUGCCCCAGGGGUGGGCAGCGGAAGGAGAACAUCAUAAAUCCUCCUCUGGUCUCGUCCCUGUAUCUCAGGCCGCUUUUAGCAAAGACAGACCCAGCCACUCUCCACUAAUCCUAAGGACUCCUUUCCUCCUGCCUGUCCCCCAACAUUGUAUUUAUCUCACCUUAUGCAGUAGGACCUAGACUGUCCCAUUUUACAGUUGAGGAAAGCCAAGGUUAAGUGACUUGCUGGAGGUCACCAGCGAGGGAGUUGCCAGAGACUGAGAACGGGAUCUGCCUCCCUUUGGCUGGAGGCUCAGGAAUACACACGACCCAUGGCAGCCACGGGGAGGGAGGGCGGCUGGGACCCCAGAGGGCUUCUGGUUGACAACAUGGCUCUUGACAACGCGGAAGGUACUUUCCAGGGCACUUGGAAGUUCCAGUCACUAUUCCUCCUGGAGAGAUCAGCCACAUCCUGCGAUUCGUGGCACCCAUGCUGGCUUCUGCAGAUGGGGCUGGAAGCAGAAGAAAACUCCAGCUGGUCCUUAGGGACGUAGCAGGGCCUUGGGGCUGAAGGCCACUCUCUCACCUUGUCCUCACGGUCCAGUUUUCCCAGGAAUCCCUUAGAUGCUAAGAUGGGGAUUCCUGGAAAUACUGUUCUUGAGGUCAUGGUUUAACAGCUGGAUUCGCCUCCUUCCCACCCCAGAGUUGGCCCUGUGGGGCCUCGGCUCAAGCACAGGAUGAGGGGCAAGGAGAGGCCCGUGCGCUGGAGGUAAGAGGGCUCGCAGACCGUCUUCUUGACCUUUAAGUUGCUCUUCUUUCCAUAUUGUCCAUUUCGUAACAUCCCUAUGAGGCUGGAUGUGGGAACUUCACCGCUGCCAUACUCUUGGGAAAUUUGCCCCGACGCUCGCGGAGCAGUGGCUGAACCGGGACGCUGUAAAGCACGGGUUCUCCCGGUCUCCACCCACCCUUACCCCACUUCCCAGCAUGCCGUGUGGUAGGGGCCACAAGAGCGUAUCUGCAUGAUUGACAAAUUAAUAAACGCGCACGAAUUUAUUUUAACAGUUUAUUAAAUCAGUUAGGUAAACUAAAAACUAUAAGUCUUAGUUCCAUUUGGAAUACAGCCAGAGAAAAAUAGAAAUUUUUUCCAUCAACCCGGAGAAGACAAAAAAGCUCAGAGCGCCCUCUUGUGGUGAUGCCUGCUGCUACCCACUCCAGGAACACACGCACACGCACACGCACCGCCCCGAGAUUCCUUUAGCCCCACGCACUUCUGAGGCAGUGACCACUCAAGCCCCAUCCAUCAGCUCAUUACUAGUGGUGGCUCCAGCACUCAGUGUCCUUUUAGUUCCAAAGCCUGGCUUCCUCCUCAAAGCUCCCUGAAGGUCUGUGUGGUAGGGGAGGCUCAGAGAGGUGAAGUGACCAGCCCCAGGUCGCCCAGACAGCAAAAGGAAGAGCCAGGAUUGAUCCCAAGUCCAGUGGCCUGUGGCAAUUCCUUAGCUAAAAGCAAAAACUACAAAAAUAAAACCUAAAAAGACUCUCUGAAUAGACAUUGGGAAUGCUAAUGGACCGAAUGCCGAGGACCCGAGGUGGUCCAGGGACAAAACCAGAACUUUUCACAAACUCUUCCUUGCGUUUUUCAUGGAGUUGGUAGAGAUGGUGGGUGUCAUGGCCCCAGAGUCCUCACUUUGGGGGUCUGAUCCCCAUAGUCCCAGGGACGAGGUGGCUCCCACACAUGGCUCAAGCUGUCUUCCUAACGGCCCACAUGGAAGACAUUUAUGAUGUACGAGAUCUACUCUUCUCAUACACAGAGACUGGAGCUGGCCUGACCAUGGAGAAAUCUGAUUUGCUCCUAACAAUGAUAGUAAUAGCUUCUACUCAUGGAGCACUUACAAUUUGCCAGAUACUCUCUAAACAGGUGCACAGGCAUUACCUCAUUCAGUGCUCACAAGAACCCAGUGAGACAGGUUUUAUCAUUUACUCCAUUUCACAGACAAGGAAGCCAAGGCUCAGAGAGGUUAAGAGACUUGCCUAAGGCCACACAGCUAAUAACGGUGAAUCUGGGAUCAGAUCAAGUCUGUGUUUAUGCUUUUAACCUGCCCUUGCCUCCUCCCUCCCAUUUGGCCUGACUUGACGAGUAGGGCUAUCUCUCUGUGGCUUCCCUGGGGGGGGUGGCGGAAGGUAAAAAAGUAAGACCUGUGUGGUCCCUUCUGUGCUCUGUGACUAUAAUAAACUGCUGGACCCUUGAUUUGUGUCCCGUUUCUUCCUGGGAACAGGGGAGGAAGAGAAGGCAUAGAAAGAACCUGUAUUAGUUGGCCCGAGCUGUCAUAACAAAGUACCACAGACUAGGCAGCUAAAACUAUAGAAAUUUAUUUUCUCAUCAUUCUGGAGGCUAGAAGUCUAAGAUCAGGUGCUGGCAGGGUUGGUUUCUUCUGAGGCUUCUCUGUCUUACAGAUGGCUGCCUUCUCCCUGUGUCUUCACUCUGUGUAUCCACAUCCUAAUCUCCUUUCUUAUAAGGACACCGGUCAUGCUGGAUCAGGGCUCACCCUAAUGACCUCAUUCAACCUGUCUCCAAGUACGCUCACUUUCUGAUGUACUGGGGGUUAGGACUUCAACACGAAUUUGGGGGGACACAAUUCAGCCCCAUAGCACAGCCCCCUUGAGGUGACCCCCCAUGUGCCUUCACGUUGCCAGACGUUUCCAGAGGCCAGCACAGACAGCAAUGGGGACCCACACUGGGGCAGCAGAAGGCCCAGAAAGCUGCCAUGCCUUGUCUGGGAACACCCCGCUGUGGAGGGUUAGGGGAAGGAAAGAGUCCCAGGAGGUAAGGUCCACCGGGGUGGGCCAGGCACCAGCCAAGGAGCCUGGCCACGAGGCGCCCUCUCCCCUUCAGUCCCAAAGGCUGACUGACCAGGCAAACAGAAGAAUGUGAAAUCACACCUCACACAGGUGUCAGGGUUGAGAGUCCCGACCCCCGGGCUCCAGCCGUCCCACAGGCAUCGUGGCCAACACUUGGGGACAUUUUAAACACAGUUGCCCCACUCUUGGCAUGAUCUUCCAGGCUCUGCUACAUUUUGAGGUAAAGAACCCUACAGCCUGAGCAACAACCUUUUACACGACCAUUCCUAGAUGCAUGGCACCUCCCCGCAUCUCUCCUGCGCACCCCAGGAGCCUCGGGGAGGAGGGGGGAGUCAGCGCACGUGGGAGCCCCUCUCCAGACCCCACCGGCCCUGUGACACACCCCGGUGCUGUUCAGCUUUGAGAAAGGACCCAGCCAGCCGCCAGAGCCUUCUCGACACUCAAAGGCCUUGUUCCUUCUAGAACCCCGACUCCACCCCUGGGGAACUAUCACCAGUUAAGACGGGGCAGGUUCCGCGCUGUGGUUUGAGAUCCUCGGGGGUGGAGGGUGGACGGGAAUAACGGCAAACAUACAGCAAAGGCCGCGCCCUCGUUACCCAUCUCAAGGCAGCCCCACCAGCCCUUCCUGGGCAUCCGCGUGCGCCGGGGCUGCCGCGGAAACGAGACAACCGGAGCCCCGGCGCGCUAGAAGCACAGACUCCAUCCCACGCACAGAAACGUGAGAUCUCGCACUCCCGCUGCAGGAUUUCAGCGUUGAAACCUUUCCCGAACACAGCCCUCAACAAUAACAGUUACAAACACAUCCCUAAAUGCCACGCCGUGGGCCUCCGUCCUGUGGGGAGAAGGAAUUGGCAUC